ACAGACAUGAAUUGUGCAUUCUAAGGAACACCUGAUAAUUUGUAAUGGAAAAAUGUCCUUGGAACCAAAAUUCGUCCUCAUUUUAAUACUUUUUUGGCUGUUUUUACUGGAAAAAGUGAAUCCUGAGGUUUCGAAAUGUUUUAUUUGUGACGAAGAUUUACCUGCUAUCGUUCCCGAAGAUUCCAGGGUGGCAAGGUUCCCGCAGUUAAACUCUAUCCGUUCCUCUGAGCCGAUGCUGGCUGAUUUUGGGUUCUUGAGUUUCAACCAAAUAGUGUCGGAGAUGUUCUGUGGGAGCCAGUGCGUGUUCCACCCAGAGUGCAAGUCAUUCAACUACAACCUCGCAGUGAAGCAGUGCAACCUACUGGCUACAGAUAUUCUUUUGAAGAAUAUAUCCUCUUCUGAUUACGCUGAUGAAGAUGGGGUGUGGUUGCACCAGAGUGUCGGUCCCCUACCCCGAGGAUGUCCCAACACCUCUGCAGUCUUAUCUGACUGUGUGCAUUUCUGGG